rnacentral:misc_RNA from 1 species
ACACCUCAACUCUCAUGGUUCGCCAUGAUGAGCUUGGACUCUGGGGGUUUUGCUGGCCCGCGGUCGGCUCCCCUCAAAUGAAUCAGCCUCCCAGUGUUUGGUGGCAUCACGGGUGUGAUAAAUAUCUACGCUCGCGGUUGUCUGCCAGGUAACCUUUGGUGACAAAGGUUUGCUGGAGCUCACAGAUGUCACACACCGUUUAGAACAGCUUUUUUGAAC